GACGUAACCAUCUGAUCAAUAGGAUCAAUAUGUUAUUCCAGCAGUUGUGUUCCUGUAGGUGUUGGCAGCUCAGGCACAGAGACGAGCGACUCUGAUUGCAAUCAUCCGUGAUCUAAGGCAGCAACUUCAGCGCAUAGGGUUCAUUACGCACCGGUUUCACUGACUGCAUUUAACGUGCAGCCGAGAAGCUGACGGAAGGUGAGCUGCAUGAUGGCAUGCUGAUCGCCGAUCAGAAGAAGGAGGUGGAAGAUUGAGGAGCUGAUUUUUAUUUUGUUUUUUGUUAAAAGGUUUCUUUAAACAACCAACACCUGCCUGACUGUACGAGUUAUUUACACGAACCAGCCGCAGGAACGUCUUGCUAUUAGGGAUGUGAAA